rnacentral:rRNA from 1 species
CCUUUCGGGUACAUCUGCCGAAACCUGAGUGAAUUGAUUAGGCGACUCUAAACAAGUAUAAUCCUCGAGGCUUAUCCUCGAGCACUAGCCAUCCCUCGUGGAUGGUGACAUUACCAACAUGCGGGAACUUUCAACGAAGUUGGUUAACCCGCAGUCACAAACGUGGCUCACAGGCUAAAUGGUAAUGGGCGUCGCUGCGUACCAGCAAUGCUUCAGAUAUAGUCGGUCCCUAGAUAUAUCUAGGAGACUUGUGGAUUCGGUGAUCCCCACCGACUCUACAGGGGAGUAAACGUUCCGUAGGUGAACCUGCGGAAGGAUCAUUA